rnacentral:lncRNA from 1 species
UGAAAGAGGCCUUAUUUUAUAGGCAAAGGCCUUAGCUAACAAUUCGGUAAAUAGAAGACUCCAGGAAGGUGUAUGGAGAUUCCCUUCCAACAUGUGGGCUUCAUCUUAUCAUCUUACAACACUCCCCCUUGGAGACCACAAAUGAUAUGGAAUAUGCCUCGUUAAAAACCUUGCCAGUAAAAACUCAGUGGGACAAAAAACUGGUCGAAGGGAAAAAGAGUACAUAACCAUGUGUAACAUAAAAUUCUGUGUAUAUUGACACACGUGCGACACUGCCUCGUUAAAACCUUGCCAGGAAAAACCCAGUGGGAUAAAAAUCUGGAUGAAGGAAAAAGAGUACAGUAUGUGAAGGUCUUUACUGACAGCACGCUCCCCCUGAUGCUUGGCAAAAUAUCUUUAAGCCAUAUUGUUGAUCAUCUUUCUGAAUAUCAUAGUUGACACUGUUUCUGUGAGUCAAUCUUGUAAUAUUGUUAGAUGCUCCCCCUAAAACGUAUCUCCC